rnacentral:rRNA from 1 species
GAUGAACGCUGACAGAAUGCUUAACACAUGCAAGUCAACUUGAAUUUGGGUUUUUAACUUAGGUUUGGGUGGCGGACGGGUGAGUAACGCGUAAAGAACUUGCCUCCCAGCUAGGGACAACAUUUGGAAACGAAUGCUAAUACCUAAUAUUAUGAUAAUAGGGCAUCCUAUAAUUAUGAAAGCUAUAAGCGCUGUGAGAGAGCUUUGCGUCUCAUUAGCUAGUUGGAGAGGUAACGGCUCACCAAGGCGAUGAUGGGUAGCCGGCCUGAGAGGGUGAUCGGCCACAAGGGGACUGAGACACGGCCCUUACUCCUACGGGAGGCAGCAGUGGGGAAUAUGGGACAAUGGACCGAGAGUCUGAUCCAGAAAUUCUGUGUGCACGAUGAAGUUUUUCGGAAUGUAAAGUGCUUUCAGUUGGGAAGAAACAAAUGACGGUACCAACAGAAGAAGUGACGGCUAAAUACGUG